rnacentral:rRNA from 1 species
AACGAACGCUGGCGGCAUGCCUAACACAUGCGAGUCGAACGAGACCUUCGGGUCUAGUGGCGCACGGGUGCGUAACGCGUGGGAACCUGCCCUUAGGUUCGGAAUAACUCCCCGAAAGGGGUGCUAAUACCGGAUAAUGUCUUCGGACCAAAGAUUUAUCGCCUUUGGAUGGGCCCGCGUUGGAUUAGCUAGUUGGUAGGGUAAAAGCCUACCAAGGCGACGAUCCAUAGCUGGUCUGAGAGGAUGAUCAGCCACACUGGGACUGAGACACGGCCCAGACUCCUACGGGAGGCAGCAGUGGGGAAUAUUGGAAAAUGGGCGAAAGCCUGAUACAGCAAUGACGCGUGAGUGAUGAAGGCAUUAGGGUUGUAAAGCUCUUUUACCCGGGAUGAUAAUGACAGUACCGGGAGAAUAAGCUCCGGCUAACUCCGUG